GGGGUUGUGGCUCAGUGGUAGAGUGCCCGCUUCGCAUGUGUGAGGCACUUGGUUUGAUCCUCAGCACCA
rnacentral:tRNA from 1 species